rnacentral:rRNA from 1 species
UACGUAGGGGGCGAGCGUUGUCCGGAUUUAUUGGGCGUAAAACGCUUGUAGGUGGCUACGUCAAGUCGGACGUGAAAUCUCCCGGCUUAACUGGGAGGGGUCGCUCGAUACUGGCGAGCUCGAGGCAGGUAGGGGGAAGCGGAAUUCCCGGUGUAGUGGUGGAAUGCGUAGAUAUAGGAAGGAACACCAGUGGCGAAGGCGACCACCUGGACUGAUACUGACACUGAGGUGCGAAAGCGUGGGGAGCAAACAGG